rnacentral:rRNA from 1 species
CGGGUGAGUAAUGUAUGGGGAUCUGCCUGAUGGCGGGGGGUAACUACUGGAAACGGUAGCUAAUACCGCAUAAUGUCUGCGGACCAAAGCGGGGGACCUCCGGGCCUCGCGCCAUCAGAUGAACCCAUAUGGGAUUAGCUAGUAGGUAAGGUAACGGCUUACCUAGGCGACGAUCCCUAGCUGGUCUGAGAGGAUGACCAGCCACACUGGAACUGAGACACGGUCCAG